GCAUACUUCUUUGAACACUUUUCACAUUUAUACUUCUUCUCACCAUGUUUUCUAAAGUAAUGUUUCUUGAUUCCAGUUAAAUCUCCAAGAGCUCGAGAAGGAUCAUGAUGAACACAGGAUGUCUCAGGGCAAAGUUGUUGUUCUUUCAUCUCCGGUUCUUCUCUCAUUCCAUUGUAAGCCGAAGCUGAUGAAGAGGAUGCCGCCAUAGGUCUUGGUUUUUCUAUCUUUGUAUCUAUACGUAUAACCUAGCUAGCUAUAUAUAUAUAUAUAUAUAUAAAUCUAGCUCUCAGUUUCUCUCUCCUUUCUGUUGCUAAGAGCAACUUUUUGAUGAGAGUAAUCCUAUCUGGAAACCCACAUGCAAAUCGAAGGCCUUAUGAGAUGAAAACUUAUCUCAAGAACUGAAAAAGUAGAUUGAUUUAAGCUCUUAGAUAUUUAUGAGACUGAAGAAAUGUGGAAAAGGUGAAUAUCUGGAAAAAGAAAACUGAAAUCAAGGUGAGAAAGGUAGAGAGGGAGAAUAGAAAGAGAAAAAGAGAGAUGGAAUUCUUUUCUUUUUUUUUUCUUCUGUAGUCAUCCCAUUUUCUCAAGUCAUACCUCAAAAAGAAAAUGUUCUUUUUAUAUUAUAUUUUGUUUUGGGGAUGAAGAAUCAAAUUUUGGACUAUUUCAAAUUGU